rnacentral:lncRNA from 1 species
AGAGAAAAAGAAUGACGAAAGGAGAAAUAAAGACAAAAUUUUUGAGCUGUGCCUUUAAAGAAUGCAAAAACAUUCCAGAAGUGGGAUGGACUUGAAUUCAUCAGUGCACUAGUUUGAGAAACGAAACUGAAACAUUUCAGCAAAAAACAAGGAAGUGUUUUCUCCCCUCUAAGACAGUUCCUUACUCUAAAGUCCAAUUAUUUAUUGGGUUUAGCCAGAGAGCAAUUCAUUUUUAAGACGGGAAACAUGACAUCUUUUCCUUUAAGACCCCAGGAGAGAAGCCAACACACCCGUUCUGAGCUCUCUGGAACCAAACAAAAUGACUUUUUUACAUUUUCAUUUUUUUUAGGUUUGUGAGGCAGAUGAUAACAGAAGUCCAGGGUCCUGGGAGGAUCAUUUGUUAGCAGACUACUGGAAAUUAUCUUGGGCUGUCCUGGGCAUGGUACCGCAGGCUGCUGACUGCUGCUAGCAUGCUUUGUCUCUGCUAAGCAAGCUAUAGACAGGUCUCAGACAAUGGUCUGAAGAUAUGAAAUGUGCAGUGUUUCUCUAAAAAUGCCACUUGUGUCAGACACCACUCAACAAUUUCUGCUUACCACCUAAAAAGAACGAAGACUGAAUUGAAGGGUAAUUCAUAUGGCUUUGGUACCAGUAGCCAGGAGAAUGCUGAGAGAGAAGGAGUUUACUUAUCCCAACCCAAAUAUCAUGUGGACCUGGUAGAGUUUCUACUGAGGGGGAGGUUGGAGCAGUUCCAGUGGCUUCCUUCCCAAGAAAUCCUUCCAUCUUAAUAUCAGUGGAUAUGGAUUGUUAUGGAUAUGGAUUGUUAUAAUACAACUUAAGAAAUGUGAAAAGUAUGAACUGAUCCAAGAUGUCAAAAUAAAAGAGUCAAAGGGAGUCA